GACGAACGCUGGCGGCGUGCUUAACACAUGCAAGUCGAACGGAAAGGCCCUGCUUUUGUGGGGUGCUCGAGUGGCGAACGGGUGAGUAACACGUGAGGAACCUGCCCUUGACUUUGGGAUAACUUCAGGAAACUGGGGCUAAUACCGGAUAGGAGCUCCUGCUGCAUGGUGGGGGUUGGAAAGUUUCGGCGGUUGGGGAUGGACUCGCGGCUUAUCAGCUUGUUGGUGGGGUAGUGGCUUACCAAGGCUUUGACGGGUAGCCGGCCUGAGAGGGUGACCGGCCACAUUGGGACUGAGAUACGGCCCAGACUCCUACGGGAGGCAGCAGUGGGGAAUAUUGCACAAUGGGCGGAAGCCUGAUGCAGCAACGCCGCGUGCGGGAUGACGGCCUUCGGGUUGUAAACCGCCUUCGCCUGUGACGAAGCGUGAGUGACGGUAAUGGGUAAAGAAGCACCGGCUAACUACGUG
rnacentral:rRNA from 1 species